rnacentral:rRNA from 1 species
GGCCCCUUAUGACCUGGGCUACACACGUGCUACAAUGGUUGGUACAACGAGUUGCGAGUCGGUGACGGCGAGCUAAUCUCUUAAAGCCAAUCUCAGUUCGGAUUGUAGGCUGCAACUCGCCUACAUGAAGUCGGAAUCGCUAGUAAUCGCGGAUCAGCACGCCGCGGUGAAUACGUUCCCGGGCCUU